rnacentral:rRNA from 1 species
UACGUAGGCAGCGAGCGUUGUUCGGAAUUACUGGGCGUAAAGAGUGUGUAGGCGGUGCUCUAAGUUCGGUGUGAAAUCUCCUGCUUAACUGGGAGGGUGCGCCGGAAACUGGAAUGCUUGAACAUGGGAGAGGAAAGCGGAAUUCCUGGUGUAGCGGUGAAAUGCGUAGAUAUCAGGAGGAACACCUGCGGUGUAGACGGCUUUCUGGACCAUUGUUGACGCUGAGACACGAAAGCGUGGGUAGCAAACAGG